GUUUCUGCAUUCAUUAUAUCUUAUUAUAUUUCUGAAUAUAUCCCCCUAGUUGUACAAAAACAAGAAGAAAUAAGUUUAGUAGUACAUUUUAAUUUCAAGAAAGACAAGAGAAAGACAGGAUGAAGAUAUUUUAGAAAUCGUAUAUAUAGAAAAUUGAGAGAAAGUAAACAAG
rnacentral:ribozyme from 14 species